rnacentral:rRNA from 1 species
AAAGAGCUCGUAGGCGGUUUGUCGCGUCUGCUGUGAAAAUCCGAGGCUCAACCUCGGACCUGCAGUGGGUACGGGCAAACUAGAGUGCGGUAGGGGAGAUGGGAAUUCCUGGUGUAGCGGUGGAAUGCGCAGAUAUCAGGAGGAACACCGAUGGCGAAGGCACAUCUCUGGGCCGUAACUGACGCUGAGGAGCGAAAGCGUGGGGAGCGAACAGGAUUAGAUACCCUGGU